rnacentral:rRNA from 1 species
GACGAACGCUGGCGGCGUGCUUAACACAUGCAAGUCGAACGGAAAGGCCCUGCUUUUGUGGGGUGCUCGAGUGGCGAACGGGUGAGUAACACGUGAGUAACCUGCCCUUGACUUUGGGAUAACUUCAGGAAACUGAGGCUAAUACCGGAUAGGAGCUCCUGCUGCAUGGUGGGGGUUGGAAAGUUUCGGCGGUUGGGGAUGGACUCGCGGCUUAUCAGCUUGUUGGUGGGGUAGUGGCUUACCAAGGCUUUGACGGGUAGCCGGCCUGAGAGGGUGACCGGUCACAUUGGGACUGAGAUACGGCCCAGACUCCUACGGGAGGCAGCAGUGGGGAAUAUUGCACAAUGGGCGGAAGCCUGAUGCAGCAACGCCGCGUGCGGGAUGACGGCCUUCGGGUUGUAAACCGCUUUCGCCUGUGACGAAGCGUGAGUGACGGUAAUGGGUAAAGAAGCACCGGCUAACUACGUG